rnacentral:rRNA from 1 species
AGGAGGGUUUGACCUGGGGCUCAGAACGAACGCUGGCGGCGUGCCUAACACAUGCAAGUCGAACGAGAAAACUCUCUUCGGAGAGUCGGUAAAGUGGCGCAAGGGUGAGUAACACGUGAAUAAUCUGCCCUCAAGAUUGGGAUAACUUGGCGAAAGUUGAGCUAAUACCAGAUAAGACCACGUUUCAUAAGUAAUGCGGUCAAAGGGGUCUCAAUCCCCGCUUGAGGAUGAGUUCGCGGACCAUUAGCUAGUUGGUGAGAUAAAAGCUCACCAAGGCUUCGAUGGUUAGCCGGCCUGAGAGGGUGAACGGCCACACUGGAACUGAGACACGGUCCAGACUCCUACGGGAGGCAGCAGUGGGGAAUAUUGCGCAAUGGGCGAAAGCCUGACGCAGCAACGCCGCGUGAGGGAUGAAGGUUUUAGGAUCGUAAACCUCUGUCGGAUGGGAAGAAUUAUGACGGUACCAUCAAAGGAAGCCCCGGCUAACUCCGUGCCAGCAGCCGCGGUAAUACGGAGGGGGCAAGCGUUGUUCGGAAUUAUUGGGCGUAAAGCGUAUGUAGGCGGUUUGAUAAGUCAGACGUGUAAGCCCGUGGCUCAACCACGGAAUUGCGUUUGAAACUUAUCUAACUUGAGUGUAGGAGAGGAAAGCGG